rnacentral:rRNA from 1 species
AGAGUUUGAUCCUGGCUCAGGACGAACGCUGGCGGCGUGCCUGACCCAUGCAAGUCGAACGGGGUGUAGCAAUACACCGAGUGGCGGACGGGUGAGUAACACGUGAACAAUCUGCCUUGCACAGGGGGAUAACGCAGGGAAACUUGCGCUAACACCGCAUGAGACCACGGUACUGCAUGGUACAGGGGUCAAAAGAGUAA